rnacentral:tRNA from 1 species
AGUAAGGUCAGCUAAUUUAAGCUCUUGGGCCCAUACCCCAAACAUGUUGGUUAAAACCCUUCCUU